rnacentral:rRNA from 1 species
CACACCUAUGAGACUAGUCCGGCUCGUUUAACGAAUUCGCCCUUGACUACUGGGGUAUCUAAUCCCAUUUGCUACCCUAGCUUUCGUCUCUCAGUGUCAGCAAUGGUCCAGUAAAGCGCUUUCGCCACAGGUGUUCUUCCCAAUAUCUACGCAUUUCACCGCUACACUGGGAAUUCCCUUUACCCCUACCAUGCUCUAGCUUGUCAGUUUCCACUGCUUUUCUGAGGUUAAGCCUCAGUCUUUAACAGCAGACUUAAAAAGCCACCUACAGACGCUUUACGCCCAGUGAUUCCGGAUAACGCUUGCAUCCUCCGUAUUACCGCGGCUGCUGGCACGGAGUUAGCCGAUGCUUAUUCUUCAGGUACCGUCAAAUUUCUUCCCUGAAAAAAGAGGUUUACGACCCUCAGGCUUUUAUCCCUCACGCGGUAUUGCUCUGUCAGGCUUUCGCCCAUUGCAGAAGAUUCCCCACUGCUGCCUCCCGUAGGAGUCUGGGCCGUGUCUCAGUCCCAGUGUGGCUGAUCGUCCUCUCAAACCAGCUACUGAUCGUUGCCUUGGUAGUCUUUUAUCCUACCAACUAGCUAAUCAGCCGCGAGCUCUUCCUUAGGCAGAAAUCUUUUUCACCUCUCGGCAUAUGGGGUCUUAGCAGCCGUUUCCAGCUGUUAUUCCCCUCCUAAGGGUAGAUUCUCACGCGUUAUCCACCCCGUCCGAAGGGCGAAUUCGCGGCCGCUAAAUUCAAUUCGCCCUAAUGGGUCGUAAUUAAAAAAAACCCCA